rnacentral:lncRNA from 1 species
ACCAUAAUUUAUGUUUUCAUAACUUGCAUGAUUUACACAUGAUUUCUAAUAUGAAUAUGUUGCCGUUUAUUUUAAGUUGCAUGUGGGAAAAGUCUCUUGAUAUGAUACCGCAAUAGUUAUUUCAGAUGAAUAUCAUGGUUCUAAAUAUUUUCGUUGUCACUAGAUCUGUUGUACCGUUUCUUGAAUUUACUGUUAUCGAAAAGAAAUUAUAUGAUUUGAUAAGAACGGAAAGGCCCUAUACUGUUUUAAAAUAUUUUCUACGAGUAUAUACGGAUUACAAAGACAAGUAUAAAUGGGAGUAGACUUUGAAGGAUCCCGUAGCUAACAGUGGGUUCGUUAGACCUGGUGCACCUUGUA